rnacentral:rRNA from 1 species
ACGGAGGGUGCAAGCGUUAUUCGGAUUUAUUGGGCGUAAAGAGUGUGUAGGCGGCCGGUCAAGCCAGAUGUGAAAGCCCAGGGCUUAACCCUGGAAGUGCAUUUGGAACUGGUUGGCUUGAGUUCGGGAGAGGGAAGUGGAAUUCCGGGUGUAGAGGUGAAAUUCGUAGAUAUCCGGAGGAACACCGGUGGCGAAGGCGACUUCCUGGACCGAAACUGACGCUGAGACACGAAAGCGUGGGGAGCAAACAGGAUUAGAUACCCUGGUAGUCCACGCUGUAAACGAUGGGCGCUAGGUGUGGGGGGUUUUUAAUCCCUCCGUGCCGCAGCUAACGCAUUAAGCGCCCCGCCUGGGGAGUACGGCCGCAAGGUUA